rnacentral:rRNA from 1 species
UACGUAGGGUGCAGGCGUUAAUCGGAAUUACUGGGCGUAAAGCGUGCGCAGGCGGUUUGCUAAGACAGGUGUGAAAUCCCCGGGCUUAACCUGGGAACUGCGCUUGUUACUGGCAGGCUUGAGUGUGGCAGAGGGGGGUGGAAUUUCACGUGUAGCAGUGAAAUGCGUAGAGAUGUGGAGGAACACCGAUGGCGAAGGCAGCCCCCUGGGCUAACACUGACGCUCAUGCACGAAAGCGUGGGGAGCAAACAGG